rnacentral:rRNA from 1 species
UACGAAUGGGGCAAGCGUUGUUCGGAAUCACUGGGCUUAAAGCGUGCGCAGGCGGCCAAGCAAGUCAGGAGUGAAAUCCCCGGGCUCAACCCGGGAAUUGCUCUUGAAACUACUUGGCUAGAAUCCCGGAGAGGUUGGCAGAAUUCCGAGUGUAGAGGUGAAAUUCGCAGAUAUUCGGAGGAAUACCAGUGGCGUAAGCGGCCAACUGGACGGGCAUUGACGCUCAGGCACGAAAGCGUGGGGAGCAAACAGG